rnacentral:tRNA from 1 species
GUUGGUGUAGCUCAGUGGUAGAGUGCAUGUAUUUGUGUGUAUGAUGUCCUGGGUUCAAUCUCCAGCUUCUCCC